GCUAUGGCGCAGUUGGUUAGCGCGCCAGAUUGUGGUUCUGGAGACCGUGGGUUCGAGUCCCACUAGC
rnacentral:tRNA from 1 species